GAUGAACGCUGGCGGCGUGCCUAAUACAUGCAAGUCGAGCGAACAGACGAGGAGCUGUCUCCUCUGAGGUUAUCGGCGGACGGGUGAGUAACACGGGGAUAACCUAACUAUAAGACUGGGAUAACUUCGGGAAACCGGGUCUAAGACCGGAUAAUAUAUUGAACCGCAUGGUUCAAGAGUUGAAGACGGUAUUGCUUUCACUUAUAGAUGGAUCCGCGCUGCAUUAACUAGUUGGUACGGUAACGGCUUACCAAGGCAACGAUGCAUAGCCGACCUGAGAGGGACAACCGCUAGACUGGCACUGAGAAACGGCACAGACUCCUACGGGAGGACGCAGUAGGGACUCCUCCGCAAGGGGCGAAAGCCUGAUGGAGCAAAGUCGGGUGAGUGCUGAAGGUCUUCGGCUGGUAAAAUUCUGUUAUUCGGGAAGAAGAAAUGUGUAAGUACCCGUGCAGAUAUUGACGGUACCUAAUGAGAAAGCUCCGGCUAACUCCGUG
rnacentral:rRNA from 1 species